UUUAGAGAGAAUCUAAAAUGCAUUAUGUGGUAUUUGAGAGAAUGUUAUUGAAUUUCUAUCUCUUUUGCAGUGGAAGAAGUUGUUCCAAAUGUAAUUGAACCUUCCUUCGGCCUGGGUAGGAUCAUGUAUACGGUAUUUGAACAUACAUUCCAUGUACGAGAAGGAGAUGAACAGAGAACAUUCUUCAGUUUCCCUGCUGUAGUCGCUCCAUUCAAAUGUUCCGUCCUCCCACUGAGCCAAAACCAGGAGUUCAUGCCAUUUGUCAAGGAAUUAUCGGAAGCCCUGACCAGGCAUGGAGUAUCUCACAAAGUAGACGAUUCCUCUGGGUCAAUCGGAAGGCGCUAUGCCAGGACUGAUGAGAUUGGCGUGGCUUUUGGUGUCACCAUUGACUUUGACACAGUGAACAAGACCCCCCACACUGCAACUCUGAGGGACCGUGACUCAAUG
rnacentral:sRNA from 1 species